AGCAUGCUGAGUUGCCAAAAUUGCAGCAGAACUAAGUUCUGGUAUGGCGCUCAAGCGCCCUCCACCUAGGGGCGCCCCCGCGCGAUGUGCAGCACAGCUGCCAAAGUUCUGCAGAACCUGGUUCUGAUAUGGCGCUCAAGCGCCCUUCUCCCAGGGGCGCCCGGGCGCGCGACCUGCUGUUUGGGCUUGGUUGCACUGUGCUUAUCUCACAUCACUUCUUUUAACCCUAUGCACUCCCAUUUCACCCCAGAAAACCCCAGUCACGCCUCUUGUUCCUCCGCAGGCCGCUCCAAACUCUCUUCUCUUCAUCUUUCACUUUGCAAAACCCAAAACCUUCAUCAACCCUAACUUAAUCUUCACCACCACAAACUCCCUCAACUCACGCUCUUCUUCAAUUACAAGCCACCCAAAACCUAAUUCUUCAACCUACACACAAUUUCCCCAAAUCAAUCACACUUUCACUCAACCUCAUUGAUUACCUCGUCACCCCCCACUCAAAGGGUUUGAGUUGCGGCUGCUGCAACAUACCAAGGACCCUCCCUUUCUGCCCUAAUUUUCACAUCCCAAGUUCUUCGCCCCUUCUUCCCACUCAAGUAGGUUUUCGUUUUCUUUUGCACCGCUAGGAUUUUCGACUGUGCUAGUUUCAACUCUAUGCCAUGUGUGUUGUUGUUCACUGUUUUACUCUUUUCUGGUUGAUUUCAAUUGAAUCUUGUUUCCACUGCAUUUUGAAUUGUUGCACUUUUGAUCCUUCUUG
rnacentral:lncRNA from 1 species